UACGUAGGAGGCGAGCGUUGUCCGGAAUUACUGGGUGUAAAGCGCGCGUAGGUGGCAGGCCAAGUCUGUGGUGAAAGCGCCCGGCUCAACUGGGCAUGGUCCAUGGAAACUGGUCAGCUGGAGGACGGUAGAGGCGAGUGGAAUUCCCGGUGUAGUGGUGAAAUGCGUAGAGAUGUGGAGGAACACCAAUGGCGAAGGCAGCCUUCUGGGCCAACACUGACGCUCAUGCACGAAAGCGUGGGGAGCAAACAGG
rnacentral:rRNA from 1 species